rnacentral:rRNA from 1 species
ACGAACGCUGGCGGCGUGCUCAACACAUGCAAGUCGAACGGAAAGGCCCUGCUUUUGUGGGGUGCUCGAGUGGCGAACGGGUGAGUAACACGUGAGUAACCUGCCCUUGACUUUGGGAUAACUUCAGGAAACUGGGGCUAAUACCGGAUAGGAGCUCCUGCUGCAUGGUGGGGGUUGGAAAGUUUCGGCGGUUGGGGAUGGACUCGCGGCUUAUCAGCUUGUUGGUGGGGUAGUGGCUUACCAAGGCUUUGACGGGUAGCCGGCCUGAGAGGGUGACCGGCCACAUUGGGACUGAGAUACGGCCCAGACUCCUACGGGAGGCAGCAGUGGGGAAUAUUGCACAAUGGGCGGAAGCCUGAUGCAGCAACGCCGCGUGCGGGAUGACGGCCUUCGGGUUGUAAACCGCUUUCGCCUGUGACGAAGCGUGAGUGACGGUAAUGGGUAAAGAAGCACCGGCUAACUACGUG